CACGUAGGCACCAAGCGUUGUCCGGAUUUAUUGGGCGUAAAGAGCUCGUAGGCGGUUCGGUAAGUCGGGGGUGAAAACUUUGGGCUCAACCCAAAGCCUGCACUCGAUACUGUCGUGACUAGAGUUCGGUAGGGGAGCGGGGAAUUCCUAGUGUAGCGGUGAAAUGCGCAGAUAUUAGGAGGAACACCGGUGGCGAAGGCGCCGCUCUGGGCCGAAACUGACGCUGAGGAGCGAAAGCGUGGGUAGCAAACAGG
rnacentral:rRNA from 1 species